UACGGAGGAUCCGAGCGUUAUCCGGAUUUAUUGGGCGUAAAGGGUCCGUAGGCGGUUUAUUGCAUCUCCUGUUAAAUCACGAGGCUCAACCUCGUGGCCGCAGGAGAGAUGAGUAAACUAGAGACCGGGAGAGGCAAGCGGAAUUGCUGGUGUAGGGGUUAAAUCCGUUAAUAUCAGCAGGAACACCAAAUGCGAAGGCAGCUUGCUAGAACGGUUCUGACGCUAAGGGACGAAAGCGUGGGGAGCGAAU
rnacentral:rRNA from 1 species